AUGACUGUGCUCUGUGUCCUCAUCUGGACUCUCCUCUGCUUCACUCAGGGGUCUGCUGGACAAAAUGUUGUGGUGACUCAGUCAGCAUCCAAAUCUGUGCAGCUCGGCCAGACUGUAAACAUCAACUGCAAAGUCAGUACACAAGUAGCUCACUACUCUGGUUCACAAUACUACCUGGCCUGGUACCAUCAGAAAGCUGGAGAAGCUCCCAAAGCUCUGAUCUACAGAACAUCAGACAGACUUUCAGGAAUCUCCUCCAGACUGAGUGGAAGUGGAGCAGGGAAUGGCCUUGACUUCACUCUGAGCAUCAGUGCAGUCCAGGCUGACGAUGCAGGAGUUUAUUACUGUCAGAGUUACCACAGCACUCCGAUGUUCACACAGUGA